AUGCGAUUUCAUGUUCUUCGAUCGCCCUAUUGAAAACGGAGAGGCGGAGAUCCCAAUCCCAGGCGAUCUGAUCUGAAGCGGGUGAUCGGUGAGAGCGCGCCGGAGAAUUCGACGGUCUCUUCCUCUUCGCCUCAGUUUCAACUAGUUAUCGGGGAGGGAGUUGACAGAUCGGAUCUGGAACUCCGUCGAAAGAGGCGCGGAAGCUGCUCUGGAGUCGGAAAUGAGCACUUCGUCGAUGGAGAUUACGCCAAAGCUUUGAGCUUUUACUCGCAGGCCAGCUCCUUUUCCUCGAUUUUUCUUGAUCUUUGAGUAGUCACUUCUCUUUUCCCUCUGUUCAAGUUGUGGUUUAGAUCAAAAACUUUGAUCAUCAAAUUUAUCUCCACAAUAAUAAUCCAAAGCAGACAUUUAGAUUUCA